rnacentral:tRNA from 1 species
UCCCCGAUGGUGUAGCGGUAACAUAACUGGUUUUCACCCAGUAGCUCCGGGUUCAACUCCCGGUCGAGGAA